CAAGAAGAGACCCUAACCGGUCCUCUCAACCCUGCCCAUCGUACCUUUUUUUGUUGCUUCCCCUCGGCGGUGCUCGCGGGCCCGCCGGCGGGAAGACCAAACAAACCCUUUGCAAACAAGCAUAUCGAAAUCUCUGAUCAAACAUGAAUUGUCA
rnacentral:misc_RNA from 1 species